rnacentral:rRNA from 1 species
AAAGACUAGAACAAAAGAUUUAACAUUUAAAUUUAUUUAUUAAUUCUAAUAAUUACAAUUUUUUUAUAUGUAAAAAAACAUAUAUUAAAAAAAAAGACGACAAGACCCUAUUGAACUUAACUUUAGUUACACUGGGGCAGUAAAUUAAUUAUUAUUUUAAUAUAUAUAUAUAAAUAUAUAUCUAAUUGUAUUAAUUAAAUCAGUUACCAUAGGGAUAACAGCGCAAUUAUAUUUUAAAGUUCUUAUUAAAAAUAUAGAUUACGACCUCGAUGUUGAAUUAAUAACCUAAUUAAAGCAAAUUUUAAAUAAAGGAAGUCUGUUCGACUUUUAAAAAAUUACAUGAUUUGAGUUCAGACCGGUAUAAGCCAGGUCGGUUUCUAUCUUUUUCAAAAAUCUUUACAGUACGAAAGGACCUAAAAAUAUAAUUAAAUUAAUUUAUUAGCAAAUAAAUGCAUUAGAAUUAGAAUCUAAUAAAACUAAAA